rnacentral:rRNA from 1 species
CCCGUUGAACUCAAUAACCGGGGCGGCGAUAUUCACCUGCGCGUCAUCCGUGGCCGCAGGGCACUUAUCGAUCCGCAGCGUACGGGCAUCGCGAUCCAUUACGGAACAUGUGGAAAGGUGGCGCCGUAGCGCUACAGUGAUAUUCCAACAGCAGGUCCCUAGCUUGCGUUGUCGACCCUCCAGUAGUGGCGCUCAGUUAGAAAGCCGGCGCCGCAAACGGGGGCUUCGGGGUUUCGGCCUCGAGUUCGACCAAGCCCGGUGUACCGUUGGAAGCGUGAUGGAUUUGCAGGGACUCGGGAGAUGGCAACGCAUGUGCUUGCGCAUGCAUCGACACCUCGACAGGAGUCGCCAGUCGCCCGAUCAGCGAUGUAUAUCAAUUAUUGAGGUACCCUCGGG